GAUGAAGAACGCAGCGAAAUGCGAUAAGUAAUGUGAAUUGCAGAAUUCAGUAAAUCAUCGAAUCUUUGAACGCACAUUGCGCCCCUUGGUAUUCCGAGGGGCAUGCCUGUUCGAGCGUCAUUAUAACCCCUCAAGCUCAGCUUGGUGUUGGGGCCUGCUGCACUGGCAGCCCUUAAAAUCAGUGGCGGCGCCAUCUGGCUCUAAGCGUAGUAAUUCUUCUCGCUAUGGAGUCCUGGUGGAUGCUUGCCAUCAACCCCCAAUUUUUCUAUGGUUGACCUCGGAUCAGGUAGGGAUACCCGCUGAACUUAAGCAUAUCAAUAAGCGGAGGA
rnacentral:misc_RNA from 1 species